AGCACCAACUACCCGGAAGUAGUAAAAACCAAAACAGACGACUCAGUCUUGUGUUUACUUGCUAAAAAACUAAUCGAUUUAAUACUUAUAUGAAAUAAAUAUAUUAGCUUUAAAAUAAAGGAUAUGUAAUUUAUCCACGACGCAGUGAACUCGGAAAUAAUCUCUUCUGUAGGUGUCGGAUUUUGGAAAAGACUUCGUUUAGGGUGGAAGUGAAGAUCAAGUAACCGAAACUCGUGAUGAUGGAGAAGAUAACGAAAGAUGUUGGGGACAUCCAGUCCAGAUUGCUGGAUCACAGACCCGUUGUGCAGGGUGAGAUUCGAUACUUUGUGAGAGAAUUUGAGGAGAAGCGAGGCUUCCGGGAGAGCAGGCUGCUGGAGAACCUGAACAGAAUGGUGGCAGAGACACAGGAGCAAGCCCUUCCCACGUGCACCCAGGCCUUGCAGGAGGACCUCCGCCAGGUCCUAGCCAGAUUGGAAGCGGCAAACCACAUGACCCAAAGAAUACAGCAGAGGGAGCUAGAGGCACAGCAGAGCCCCGGGCUGCAGGCCCACGCGGAGAGACACCGGGCCGAGUGGGAGGAGUUCCUGAAGGAGCAGGGCCGCAAGAAGGAGGCCGUCGAGGAAGAGCACGCCAAGGCCGUGGGGCGGCUGAGCGCCCAGUACAGCGAGAUGGCCAAGGGCCUGACCCGGUUCUCCCACUUCUGAGCUCUCCGCGCGCGGCGGGGGCAGGUCUCCGCGUGGCCCAGGUCUGCCCAGCUGGGCUCGCACCACAGCGGCGUGCCGAGCAGCGUCAGCGGAAUUCUCUGAAGCUGUCUGGAUCAGAAGUCAGCCCUGGUUUCCUGAAAGAGAAGACAGGCCCUGAGACCUGAGGUCUCUGCACUGGAAGUGACGCUAGAUGUCAGUUUGAGAGUGUUGAGACUCAAUUCGUGUGGGAGGCCGGACCCCAGACACAGUCAACAGCAGCAGACCGUCCCAGGAGCCACUACAGGAGAUGACCCCUGAGGUGCAGAGGUACUUGAAGAAGAAGAAGACCGCUGAGAGAUCCAGUCUUUCGGGAAACCAGGACAGUUUUUCAAGCAAGGCUUCUGUCCGAAGCACAUGCUUCUGAACAGGCCACUGGGGGUCUGUCAAGUUCCUGGCCACGGGCAGGAGAAACCCCCCACCACAGUCAUCUGGGAGAUCGGUGAGGGAGCCCUGGGACAGGUCCUGGGCUGAGGCCUUGGUCAUGGUGGACCAGUCAUGGAGUCAGGGCAGCAGCCGAGUCAACGGUCAUCCGAAUCAUGAUUUGGCUAUAACCAAAGUCUCUCCAAGAUGGGUGCCCCUCAACUUCAGUGCUCAGGGUCGACACCAGUGGAGGGAGUCAAUUGCUCGACUUGUACUGAGCUCCCUGCCUGACUGGAUGCUAGAGGUGAGACGCGAGUUCACCAAUGCUGCGCACCCUGAGAGCCGCCAGGAAUCCAUGCGUCUGAAGCUCCAGGGGGCUCUGCCUCCAAGACACUACACACUAAACCACCAGGGGCCAAGAUCAGCUUUAUUAAGGAAGAGCAGCAUUGAGGAGGAGGAGGCAGUGCCGAGGGAUGACCUGCCACAGUUGCUCCUUGCCAGAUUCCUUCUGCGGAAGGAAAUACCUCAAUAUUUCUGUACUGUAUGAGCCAUUUACAUCAAAAACAGGACAACCAAUGAUCACCUGGGAUUAAUAAGAACCCAGGAUAUCAGCUUCAACAACAUGGAUGGGUAGCUUUUCUAUACUUGCACUGGGAGUAUUAUUCUGUAUUGCAGCAGAACAGCAUUGAAUCAAAUGAUUUAUUGCAUAUACAG